rnacentral:misc_RNA from 1 species
GAUGAAGAACGUAGCGAAAUGCGAUAAGUAGUGUGAAUUGCAGAAUUCAGUGAAUCAUCGAAUCUUUGAACGCACAUUGCGCCCCUUGGUAUCCCGAGGGGCAUGCCUGUUCGAGCGUCAUUUCACCAUUCAAGCCUGGCUUGGUGUUGGGCGACGUCCCCUUUGGGGACGCGCCUCGAAACGCUCGGCGGCGUGGCACCGGCUUUAAGCGUAGCAGAAUCUUUCGCUUUGGAAGUCGGGGCCCCGUCUGCCGGAAGACCUACUCGCAAGGUUGACCUCGGAUCAGGCAGGGAUACCCGCUGAACUUAAGCAUAUCAAUAAGCGGAGGA